AGACCACACCCCCGAGGAUUUCAGACCUCAAGAUGUCGAACUUGGAGCCGUUCUUUAAUGACAUAAAUGGAGUGUCCACCUAAAUAAACCAGCUGGACCCAGAAGACAACUGCACUAUGAGCAGGUGUGCAUCAGGAAGGCAAACAUGGCAGCAGUCCCACCAGUGCAGCUGCAGUCCAGCUCGUGAAAACCCGGGGCGACAUGGCCGACCAGCACAGGUGGAGGCAACAUGGCCGACCAGCACAGGUGGAGGCGACAUGGCCGACCAGCACAGGUGGAGGCAAGAUGGCCGACAGGUCGCAGGUAGACGCCCACACACACACACACAGCAGGGUGCGGCCGCUGGGAGGAAUGUGCCCCGGGCGUGUGAGUGAGCACACCCUCUGGUCCUGCUGGGCCUCCCUGUGCUGACUCACCUGCUGAACCAGAUCGUGUUCAAGUCCCAACCUUGCUAGGCAACACACCUUCAGACGGGGAGAGUCCACCACAGUCUGCUUCUAAGGCCGGCUCCUCUUGGCCUUUCUGGGUCAAAGGUCACGGCAAGCCCUUUGGAGGCGAUGUGUCGUGCAAUAUGCAGUUGGUACUCUGAAGAUGAGAAUAUAGCAAGCAGAGAAGUAGUCAGCUUCUCUACAAACCCAGUUUCCAUAUGAGUUGGGAAAUUGUGUUAGAUGUAAAUAUAAACAGAAUACAAUGAUUUGCAAAUCCUUUUCAAGCCAUAUUCAGUUGAAUAUGCUACAAAGACAACAUAUUUCAUGUUUUUUUGCAAAUAAUAAUUAACUUAAAAUUUCAUGGCUGCAACACGUGCCAAAGUAGUUGGGAAAGGGCAUGUUCACCACUGUGUUACAUCACCUUUUCUUUUAACAACACUCAAUAAACGUUUGGGAACUGAGGAAAGUAAUUGUUGAAGCUUUGAAAGUGGAUUUUUUUUCCCAUUCUUGUUUUAUGUAGAGCUUCAAUCGUUUAACAGUCCGGGGUCUCCGCUGUCCUAUUUUACACUUCACAACACAUUUUCCAUGGGAGACAGGUCUGGACUGCAGGCGGGCCAGGAAAGUACCCGCACUCUUUUACUACGAAGCCACGCUGUUGUAACACGUGGCUUGGCAUUGUCUUGCUGAAAUAAGCAGGGGUGUCCAUGAUAACAUUGCUUGGAUAACAACAUAUGUUGCUCCAAAACCUGUAUGGACCAUUCAGCAUUAAUGGUGCCUUCACAGAUGUGUAAGUUACCCAUGCCUUGGGCACUAAUACACCCCCAUACCAUCACACAUGUGUAAGUUACCCAUGUCUUGGGCACUAAUACACCCCCAUACCAUCACACAUGUGUAAGUUACCCAUGCCUUGGGCACUAAUGCACCCCCAUACCAUCACACAUGCUGGCUUUUACACUUUGCGCCUAUAAUAAUCCGGAUGGUUAUUUUCCUCUUUGUUCCGGAGGACACCACGUCCAAAGUUUCCAAAUAUAAUUUGAAAUGUGGACUCGUCAGACCACAGAACAGUUUUCCACUUUGCAUCAGUCCAUCUUAGAUGAUCUCAGGCCCAGCGAAGCCAGCGGCGUUCCUGGGUGUUGUUGAUAAAUGGCUGUGGCUUUGCAUAGUAGAGUUUUAACUUGCACUUACAGAUGUAGCAACCAACUGUAGUUACUGACAGUGGUUUUCUGAAGUGGUCCUGAGCCCAUGUGGUGAUAUCAUUUACACACUGAUGUGACUUUUUGAUGCUUGAGGGAUCCAAGGUGCAUAACAUGAUGGCUUACCUGCAGUGAUUUCUCCACAUUCUCCGAACCUUUUGAUGAUAUCACGGAGCGUAGAUGGUCAAAUCCCUAAAUUCUUUGUUGAGAAAUGUUGUUCUUAAACAAUUUGCUCAGGCAUUUUUGUUGACAAAGUGGUGACCCUCACCUCGUCCUUGUUUGUGAACGAGUGAGCAUUUCAUGGAAGCUGCUUUUAUCAAUCAAUCAAUCAAUGUUUACUUUCUUUUAUGGCCAAUCACGGCACCCACCUGUUCCCAAUUAGCCUGUUCACCUGUGGGAUGUUCCAAAUAAGUGUUUGAUGAGCAUUCCUCAACUUUCUCAGUCGUUUUUGCCACUUGUGCCAGCUUUUUUGAAACAUGUUGCAGGCAUCAAAUCCCAAAUGAGCUAAUAUUUGCAAAAACAAAGUUUACCAGUUCCAACAGUAAAAUAUCUUGUCUUUGCAGUCUAGUCAAUAGAAUAUAAGUUGAAAGGGAUUUGUUGUAUUUUCUUUUUAUUUAGCUUUUACACAAGCUGAGUUCUUCACUGCUUCUGGGAAUUGUAGUCCGAGUAGAAAUGUUGUGCAGGAUAGGAGGUGGAACUCUGGAAAUGUAGGAAAACUAAAUCAUUCAUUUUAACAAAUCAACUUCAAAAUAUGUCAAGCUUCAUUUAUUAUUUGUUUAAUUGUUAUUCUAUUUUUAUUUAAUCUUUUUUUGUUUACAGUCUUUGAAAACAAACAUUUUAUGAAAUGUUUAAUUGCAAGUUUCUAAAGCCAUCAAGAUUCUGUCAAAGCAAGUCUUGAUUUUUUAAAAAUUUAUUGUGUUUUUAUUUUGUUUUUUUUGCACUACAGUUUUUGGAAAUCCUGAAUUUUCUGAAAUUUUCAAUUUGUGGUUUUGGUCGGCUGUAAAAGCCAUCAAAACAAGUCUUGACGUGUAAUUGGUUGAAUUUUAUUUGUAUUGUUUUGGUUUGUCAAUUAAUCAAUCACUCAAUGUUGACUUAUAUAGCCCUAAAUCACGAGUGUCUCAAAGGGCUGCACAAGCCACAACAGUUACAGUUUUUGAAAACCUAAAAUGUUUUGAAAUGUUCAAUUUGAGGUUUUGAUUGACUGCAUGUCAUCAACAUGCUAUCAAAAGAAGUAUUGAAAGUGAAUUUUAUUAUUAAUAUUUUUAAUCAAUGUAUUUAUUUAAUUUUACUAUUUGGGGGAGUUCACAGUUUUUGAAAACACAACAUUUUAUGAAAUUUGCAGUUUUUGUGGGCUGUAAGUCAUGAAAAUGAUAUUGAGAGAAGUCUUGAAAAUUAUUUUCAUAAUUAAAAAAAAAAAUAAUAAUUUGUUUAUUUUUCCAGUUUAUUUGGGUAAGCACUCCAUUUAUGUCGAAAUAGAAUGGGUUCAAAUUCCACAUUUGCAGCUGCUAGUCACUUUUAACUCACUCUCUCAGCUUCACUCUUCCUUUGUGCUCACUUCUAGAAGCAGAAGUUCAUCCUCCUUAUAUUCAGCUUCAAAAAGAUAAGGUUAUGAAUCCUCUUUUGUCCACAAAUAGUCUUCUUUGUUGUCUGUUGCCAGGUCUGCCGUAACUACAACACUCUCACGUUUGUUUUUUGGAAGCCGGAAGUGCGUUGCUAUGGAAACGGACAUAAAAGCGCGGAAAAAAAUUAGUCCUGGCAAUUAUUAAAAUGACCAAAAUACAGUAAAUAUUGUACAUAUUACAUAUUGUUAUGAAGGUGAUUGU